rnacentral:rRNA from 1 species
UACGUAGGGGGCAAGCGUUAUCCGGAUUUACUGGGUGUAAAGGGAGCGUAGACGGCCAGACAAGUCAGAAGUGAAAGCCCAGGGCUCAACCCUGGGACUGCUUUUGAAACUGCCGGGCUGGAGUGCAGGAGAGGUAAGCGGAAUUCCUAGUGUAGCGGUGAAAUGCGUAGAUAUUAGGAGGAACACCAGUGGCGAAGGCGGCUUACUGGACUGUAACUGACGUUGAGGCUCGAAAGCGUGGGGAUCGAACAGG